GACGAACGCUGGCGGCGUGCUUAACACAUGCAAGUCGAACGGAAAGGCCCGGCUUUUGUUGUGGGCUCGAGUUGCGAACGGGUGGGUAACACGUGAGUAACCUGCCUGAGACUUUGGCAUCACUUCAGGAAACUUGGGCUAAUACCUGAUAUGAGCUCCUGGUGCAUGGUGUGGUUCGGAAAGUUGCGGCGGUUGGGGUUGGGCUUGCGGCUUAUCUGCUUGUUGGUGGGGUAGUGGCUUAGCAAGGCGUUGACGGGUAGCGGGCCUGAGAGGGUGACCGGCGACAUUGGGAAUGAGAUAAGGCCCAGACGCAGACGGGAGGCAGGAGUGGGGAAUAGUGCACAAUGGGCGGAAGGCAGAUGCAGCAACGACGGGUGCGGGAUUACGGCCUUCGGGUUGUAAACCGCAUUCGCCUGUGAUGAAGCGUGAGUGACGGUAAUGGGUAAAGAAGCACCGGCUAACUACGUG
rnacentral:rRNA from 1 species